AUAUCUAUAGUGGAAAAACACACAAAUAAUAGGUACUCCUCCACUCAGAAUCAUUUUUUUAUUUGCAAUACUUUAUCGUUGCAUACGGUUUAUUAAAAUGAAUUACCAUAAUAUGGUAAUAAUAAUAUAAUAUUUUAUUUUUCUCGUAAUAAAAGAAUACUAGGCCCCACUCUGAUAUGGGGGCCUAAUUUAGGAAUCUAAUUUAGUUUAUACAACACAUACAUUAUACAACCAUAUGAUCUAACUAUAUAACCACGGAUGAUCUAACUAAAUAAAUGACAAUAUUAGUCUAGUUUAUUU